UGCUAUGCUUCAUUUUGUGAAGGUACGUUAAGGAUCUGAUUCAAUUUGGAGUUGUAUACUACGCUCUUGUUUGUCCACAGCCUCCUUCGGCGGCUACUGAAGAACAAAUUAAGGUAUACAAAGAAGUAACGAAACCUUCGGUAUUGCGCCAAAGAGCUUCUAUCAAAGGCAAAACUGUGCGAGAGGCACAUAAAACUUUCCGUAUAACUCACGCAGAUCAAUUUGUUAAGCCUGGAACGUAUUUGCGAGUCCAUGUGCACCCAAACGCUUUCCUAGGUGUUAUGAGAUUGACUGAAGAUCAAGGAUGACAGCUGUGGCGGAAUCCUAUGUAGUUUUGGAUAAACCUGCUAGUACAUCAGUUGGCUGAAUACCUGACUAUCUCUUUCUUUUGCAAACAAUUCUCCAAACAAAUCCUUAGGUACGAGAGUGCCCCUGAAUUUGUCAUCCUCCAAAAAUUUCUAAUAAUAAUAUUGUUAUUCAUCCUCCCCUGAAAUUGACUUUUCUCAUCAGACUGUGGAUAAUGUUGUUGCUUUAUUAUUUUUAUUUAUAAUAAUGUCUGCCUAAUAAUAAAUUAAGUUAAGCGUUAAAAUUUUAUGUUAUGUUUUUAUUUUUACUUUAUUAGAUUUUGUAUCUGAACUUACGACUUUAAAUUUUUCUAGCGUCAAUUAAUUAUCUUAAAAAUAUUCUACAAAAGUAUUUUAAUAUGAAAAUAGUUUUACUAUAAUUUAAACUUCACUCCACAUAUUUUAAAUUUGAAGAGUAUUUUUAUUAUCCAAGACUUUGUUUCGCAUUUGAUAUCUGGACCGUCAAUAUGAUUAUUUGGAUUCUACAUUAUACAUUAUAAUAAUCAACUAUAAAAGCAAUUCUCUAGACAAAUCCUCAACUAUAAAAGCGAUGGAUCAGUUUUGUAACUUAUUCCAUCCCCUGAAAACGUAGCAGUAGAACUGAGUAACUUAUGUUGAUCAAUUUUUUUUAGGAUGUCUACCCAAGAUACAUUUUCUCUUAUAGGAGAUGACCAAGAAGGACAAUUUAUAGAACCUAAUGUAGGAGAUUCAAAUCAAAAUGAUGUUCCUGUAGAUUCAAAUCAAACUGAAAGUUCAACUCCUACUGUUAACUCCAGAAGAUUAUUGUCAGAUGUUUGGAAUCACUUUAAGAAACAAAAGGUAGAUGGGAAAUGGAGAGCGAUGUGUAAUUAUUGUUCCAAAAGUCUUCUAGGUGAGGCAAAACAAGGUAUGUCACAUUUGAUAAACCAUUUCAAGAGUUGCAAGCUUCGAACAACACGGGACAUCCGACAAUCAUUUUUAAAAACACAUAAAGAAGGUAGUGAAACUGUAGUUGUUGGCAAUUAUGUGUUUAAUCAACAAAUAGCUAGAGAAGCACUCCAUAAGAUGAUAAUUCUACAUGAGUAUCCAAUGUCAAUGGUUGAUCACAUAGGCUUUAAAGAAUUUUGUGCUGCUGUACAACCUCUAUUUAAAGUGGUUUCUCGAAACACCUUAAAAACGGAUAUUAUGAAGGAUUACAUUGCCGAAAAAGAGAAAUUGAAAUUAUUGUUGUCAAGGAUUCAAACCGAGUUGCAAUUACAACUGAUAUGUGGACUGCUAGUAAUCAAAAUAGAGGCUACAUGACUAUAACAACUCAAUUUAUUGAUGAUUUGUGGAGGCUACAAAGUCAACUUGUGAGGUAAUAACACUAUACUAUAUUUUAAGUGUAUUUUUUAGAUUAACAUUGUUCUUUUUCACUAAAUUAAUAAAAUAUGACUUUCAAUUUUAGGUUUAUGUAUGUGCUUGCUCCUCAUACUAGUCAAGUUCUUGCUGAAUUGUUGGUUGAAUGUUUAAUGGAUUAGAAUCUAGAUAGAAAAGUUUCUACUUUGACAGUUGAUAAUUGCACUACAAAUGAUGCUAUGAUUGAUCGCAUUUUAGACAAGAUUUCACCUAGGUCUCUCAUUUUGGGUGGCCAAUUGUUUCACAUGCGAUGUUGUGCACAUAUAUUGAAUUUGAUUGUGAAGGAUGGUUUGUCCAUAAUUGCUAAUGUCAUUGAAAAGGUCAGAGAAAGUGCUAAUUUUUGGACAGCUACACCUAAAAGAGAAGAGAAAUUUAUAGAGACGUGCUCCAUUGAAUAUUCCAUUCAAAAGAAAAUUAGUUGUUGAUUGUAGAACUAGGUGGAAUUAUACAUUUUUAAUGCUUCAAGUAGCCAUAUAAUACAAAGAUGUAUUUACAAAGAUGUAUUUGAUCGUUUAUCACAAUGAGAGAGCGCAUAUGAUUGGCAAAUGGCAAAUGAAAUUUGCCAAAAGUUGGAAAUAUUUUAUGAUGUGACACUCUUGUUUUCUGGUACCUCUUAUCCAACUGCCAACAUUUUCUUUCCAAAGGUAUGUGAAAUUAAGUUGACUUUGAUGCAAUGACUUAACUCUCCCAAUUCUAUUAUUCACCAAAUGGCUGCAUCUAUGGUUUUAAAGUUUAACAAGUAUUGGAGUGUGAUCAGUGGAGUGAUGGCUAUAGGUAUUGUCUUAGAUCCCAGGUACAAAAUUGAUUUGUUGGAUUAUUUUUUCCCUCAGAUAUAUGGCAAUGAAUCUGAUUGUGAAAUUGAAAAGGUGAAGAUUCUUUUUAAGGACUUGGUAAGAGAAUAUGAAAUGUGCAUCAAAGGUAAGAAGUCAGUUUCUUCAUGUCAAAAUCCGAACAUAAAUGUAGGCCAAAUUGUUGAUGGAAGAAAAGAUGCUUGGAGGAGAGAUUUUGUAAAACAUCAGAUUGCAAAGAAAAAUGAACCAACAAAUUAUAAGUUAGAACUCGAUUAUUACUUGGAGGAACCGACACUACGGAUUCAGAUGAAGGAUUUGACAUUUUAAUUUGGUGGAAGACUAAUGGAUUAAAAUAUCCAAUCUUACAAAUGAUUGCAAGAGAUUUUCUAGCCAUUCCUAUCUCAACAGUUACUUCUGAGUCUUCUUUUAGUACCGGUGGUCGAUUUCUUACUCCACAUCGGAGUAGAUUACACCCAGACACUUUAGAGGCAUUGAUAUGUGUUCAAGAUUGGCUAUGGAGUGACAUACAAGGUAAUUAAAUGAACAAUUCAAAUUACAUAUUUAUAUUCAUUCAAAUGAUUGGCUAUGACAAAUGAAUUUAUUUUCCUUUUUCAAGUUCUUCAUAAUUGAAAGUGGUAACAUGAAGCUUAAUACAAUACUAGAGGAGAUAAUUGAUGAUGAUGUUAGUAGUUUUGUUUAUAAUAUUGUAAUCUAAUUUUAUUAAUAGUGUCACUUUGUCAUUUAUU